rnacentral:misc_RNA from 1 species
UCGUUGGUGCAUUGAAAUAUAUAUUUUUUUCUGCCUUCUGGCUUACUGCUUGUAACGAGCGUGCCUGUGUGCGUUUGUAUUCAUCGUUUGCGUCUUUCUUUUAUGCACACUUUCCCACGCACUUCGUGUCUUGUCGCUUUUGCCCAACCUCGGUUAACGCCCUUGUCCCAGCUAUCCAAGGCGCAGCUCGCUUCUCCGCUGCACCGUGAACGGGCUUAGGGAAGCUUCACGGCAACUGAUCAUCGUAUCGGACAAGGACGUUGCAGUAGGUGUCCUUGCUCGCAUAGAUACCCAUUGCACCCCUCCUGGUCAGUCACGACCGCACGGUACCCCCUCCCCCCACCACCACUCGGCUCACAGAGGCAGACCAACUCACGCACACACAGGGAAAAGAAAACACGCCACGCACUGCUGCUCGUGUGGGUUACGCAGAUUGCUGUGAUAACGUCUUUUGUCGCCCACUUGUCACGUCUCUCUUUCCCCUGCCACUUGUCAUCUCUUCAUCGGAUUCGUGCUUCUUUGCUCCUUUGAUGUUUAG